rnacentral:rRNA from 1 species
AUGCGCGGCCCGUGCUGCGGCGGAUCGCUCAGUCGCGUUGGCGGCGGCGGCGGCGCGACACCACCUCCGCCCAACUGUCUGCCCCCUCCUGCGGUAGCGCCGUCCCCGCCCAACUGCCUGUCCCGUCCCGCGCCCCCAAACCCGUGCCAGGAUCAUGUGGCUGGGCCUCCAUCCGCACGGACGCAGCCGCAACCGUCUGUCUCGUACUUGAGCAAGUUGCUCGGCAAUAAGGCAUUCAAGGAUACUGCCACUUCCUCAUCCUCCCCACAGGCUGUAGCUGAGACCCCGCCACCGAAGCCAACCAUUUAUGUCAACGACCCUCCUGAUUGGUACUUCAGUAUUUACAUCAGGAUCGAUCGUUCAGGAUUUUUCCACACAUAUCCUCGUCUCGGUGGACCAUUCAAGAGCUUACAUGAAGUUGAAAAGGCUAUUGAGCGCUAUCUUGAUGACAAGCGGCAUAAAACGCUGUGGAACGAGCAAGCUGGGGAUUCUGGAAUGGACAUGGUUAUAAAAAAGGCUCUUUACUGGCCUGAUGGCAGAACAAGGAAAUGUUCAGACAAGGAAGUAGUGGAUCAUACCCGUGAGCAAAUGAGUUUAAUGCUUCAAGCUUUACUGGACAAGUAUAAUGAGGAUCACAAUCUUGUUGGGGAUCUUGCAUAUGAAUUCAAGGAUUUUUUGCACUAUCGAUCAAUUUGUGAAGACUAUAAGUGGUACAAGCAUUUCAAUUUCACUACAAAGACUAAAGAUGGAACUGAGGAUCUUUUCUUUGCUGAAGUGACAGAGGGAACAUGCGAUGAAUUAGUGGCCAACUGUUUCUGCAAGAUUGAAUCCAAUGAAAAUGGCCACUGCUAUGGUUGCAUAAAUCAUGGAAUUACUGAUAUGAAGCACCCCGACAAGGCUGAUGCAUACUCUGGUGGCCACUUGAACGUAUAUUUGCCAUUUGGUGGGUGUAGAAGCCGUCCUAACACGUGGACAGGAUCUAAGGAAGAUGUGACAGCUGAGGAAGCUAGGCUGAGAUACAUCUACGGUAUACAAUGA